rnacentral:rRNA from 1 species
AUACGGAGGGUGCAAGCGUUAUCCGGAAUCAUUGGGUUUAAAGGGUCCGCAGGCGGACUAAUAAGUCAGUGGUGAAAUCCUCUCGCUUAACGAGAGAACUGCCAUUGAAACUGUUAGUCUUGAAUUCGGUCGAAGUAGGCGGAAUGUGUCAUGUAGCGGUGAAAUGCAUAGAUAUGACACAGAACACCGAUAGCGAAGGCAGCUUACUAGACCUGGAUUGACGCUCAUGGACGAAAGCGUGGGGAGCGAUCAGGAUUAGAAACCCUAGUAGUCC